GAAAACUUACCAGGUCAAGACAUGGGCGUGAUUGACAGGCUAAUGACUUUUCUCGAUUCCAUGGAUGGUGGUGCAUGGUCGCACUUAGUUGGUGCAGUGAUUUGUCAGGUUUAUUCCGGUAACGAACGAGACCUCGGCCUUGUAAAUAGCUAUGCUGCUUACAGGGACAUUGGCGGCUACGCCAAGGAAGCUCGAGGCAAUUGCAGAUCUGGAAUGCCCUUAGAUGUCCUGUGUCGCACGCGUGCUACAAUGACGCCACGAACGAGCUUGCGUGAUGAAAGUUACGCAUAAUCAGCAGUCGGCGUCUUAAGGGAUAGUCUCUUGUAACUGUGGGACUCCAACUAGGAAUGUCUCGUAAGCACAAGUCAACAUCUUGUGUUGAUUACGUCCCUGCUCUUUGUACACACCGCCCGUCGCUCCUACCGAUCGAAUGUUUAGGUGAAUUUGAUGGACGUAAGGAAGUCAAAUAAACCUGAGCACUAGAGAAGAGAGUCGAUAUU
rnacentral:rRNA from 1 species